UAGGGAAUCUUCGGCAAUGGACGAAAGUCUGACCGAGCAACGCCGCGUGAGUGAAGAAGGUUUUCGGAUCGUAAAACUCUGUUGUUAGAGAAGAACAAGGACGUUAGUAACUGAACGUCCCCUGACGGUAUCUAACCAGAAAGCCACGGCUAACUACGUGCCAGCAGCCGCGGUAAUACGUAGGUGGCAAGCGUUGUCCGGAUUUAUUGGGCGUAAAGCGAGCGCAGGCGGUUUCUUAAGUCUGAUGUGAAAGCCCCCGGCUCACCGGGGAGGGUCAUUGGAAACUGGGAGACUUGAGUGCAGAAGAGGAGAGUGGAAUUCCAUGUGUAGCGGUGAAAUGCGUAGAUAUAUGGAGGAACACCAGUGGCGAAGGCGGCUCUCUGGUCUGUAACUGACGCUGAGGCUCGAAAGCGUGGGGAGCAAACAGG
rnacentral:rRNA from 1 species